rnacentral:rRNA from 1 species
CGCCACGCCCUGGCGGACGCUUAUACAUGCAGUCGAACGCAGUAGCAUACUGAGUGGCAAACGGGUGAGUAUAAUGUGGGUAUCUGCCUUUUGGUUUGGAAUAACAUGAGGAAACUUGCUGCUAAUACCGGAUAAGCCUUCACAGGGUAAAGUUUUAUACGCCGAAAGAUGAGCCCGCACUUGAUUAGCUUUGUUGGUGAGGUAAUGGCUCACCAAGACUAUUAUCAAUAGCUGGUCUGAGAGGACGAUCAGCCACAUUGGGACUGAGACACGGCCCAGACUCCUACGGGAGGCAGCAGUAAGGAAUCUUGCACAAUGGGGGAAACCCUGAUGCAGCGAUGCCGCGUGAGUGAAGAAGGCCCUUGGGUUGUAAAACUCUUUCGUCGGGGAAGAAAAUGACUGUACCCGGAAUAAGAAGGUCCGGCUAACUUCGUGCCAGCAGCCGCGGUAAUACGAAGGGACCUAGCGUAGUUCGCAAUUACUGGGCUUAAAGAGCUCGUAGGUUGGUUAAAAAGUUGAUGGUGAAAUCCCCAGGCUCAACCUUGGAACUGCCCUCAAAACUUUUUCGCUAAGAGUGUGAUACAGGACAGUGGGAA